AAAGUCGUAACAAGGUUUCCGUAGGUGAACCUGCGGAAGGAUCAUUCAUAAUAAGUGUUUUAUGGCACUUUUUAAAUCCAUAUCCACCUUGUGUGCAAUGUCAGUCGAUCUUCUUCAUGGAAGAUCGGCCAAACAUCAACCUUAUCUUUUAACUCUUUGUCUGAAAAAUAUGAAUAAACAAUUCAAAAUACAACUUUCAACAACGGAUCUCUUGGCUCUC
rnacentral:misc_RNA from 1 species